AUGAAAAUCAUCUUAUGGAGAAUCGCACAAAACUGUCUUCCUACAGGUGACAAUCUUCAAAAAAGAUCAAUACAAACAAGGUAUGAUUGCCUCAUAUGCAAUAGAUUUGAGACAGUGGAUCAUUGUUUCUUCCAUUGUCAUUACACUAAAGAAAUUUGGACCGAACUGAAGAAAUAUCAUCAUAUCUCCUUAAAAGUGAAGAACUUUUUACAUAUUCGUCAAUGGCUACUGGAAUGGAUCAAUGAGGCUCCUGAUUUCCAACUUAUGGUGUUCACGAUUGUUGUUUGGUACAUUUGGGAAAACAGAAAUAACAUUAGAAUUGGGGAGAGUUUCAUUCACCCACAACGUGUAGUUGGGAAGAUUAAUGCAUAUAUUGAUUUUGUUAUCCUAAAUAAUUUCAGAUCGACUCACCUUACUAGGUGUGAGGCCCAAGCAUCAACCCCAAAGUGGUCGCCACCGCCGGAAGGGUCGGUUCUGAUCAAUACAGAUGCAACAAUCUUCUCAGACUCGUGUCGUAUGGGUAUCGGAGUUGUCAUCCGUGACCAUCUGGGAGUAGUACGGGCUGCUUGCAGAUGCUAUGUGGACCAGGUGGAAGACCCAGAACUUGCUGAAGCCAUAGCGGUGCGACAUGCCUUAUCAUUCACCGAAGAAGCUGGCUUCCAAUCCAUUAUUAUGGCAUCUGAUUGUUCUACUGUAUUGAAUAAGGUGAAGAAUGUGACAACUGAUAGAUCUCAGAUAGGUGCCAUAAUAUAUGACAUCAAAAGCAGGGCUCUUAAGUUUAAAUCUUGUAUGUUUACUCAUGUCAACUGA
rnacentral:rRNA from 1 species